rnacentral:lncRNA from 1 species
UACAGACUCAUAUUGACUCUGUAACCAUUUAUAUAUGCUAAACCAUAUUUUUCACACGAAUUGUAUUAUUAAGUAUAUUUUAUUUUCACAUUUCUAAAAAUAAUGACCUUCAUCAAUUUGGCAUCUCCGAAAAACUCUUCCUGCUGGAGACGUGAUGUCUUAACGAAUCGAGAAACGUAAGUUGCUUUCCCAUCUUUGAUGCGUACCCCAUGUAUCAUUCUGCGAAGUUAUAGAAAAAUGAAGUAAUUGACAAAAAAAUAACAGAAGAUUCAUGCAUGUGAGAGCAAGGGCGUCAGAUACUUUGGGACCAUCACUAAACAGUGGCCGAGCUAGGAUAUUAUUAUGUGGGUCAGAUCCAUGUGAGUUUUUGAAAAUAAUUUUUUUUGCAUAUAUUUCCUAUAGAAGAAACAUAUGAUGAAUUUUGUUUAUUGACCCUUGUAAAUACUUGUAUAAUUAGUUUGACCCCUGUAAAUUUCUUUUCCCUCCGCUACUGUCACUAAAUUUGAGUAUUUUAUUAUAAAUCCGAAGAAACAAAUUAAAAUUAAUAAAACAAAUUAAAACCAGAUUAGAACUUGUAGAUAUCUGUAUAAUUUUUUUUAUUUCUAUAUCCAAAAUAUCUCAAGCGGAUCUCAAUUAAAUAGAGAUUGAAUUGGGCGCUUGGAUAAAUU